UACAGAGGUCUCAAGCGUUGUUCGGAUUCAUUGGGCGUAAAGGGUGCGUAGGCGGCGCGGUAAGUCGGGUGCGAAAUCUCGGAGCUUAACUCCGAAACUGCAUUCGAUACUGCCGUGCUUGAGGACUGGAGAGGAGACUGGAAUUUAUGGUGUAGCAGUGAAAUGCGUAGAGAUCAUAAGGAAGACCAGUGGCGAAGGCGGGUCUCUGGACAGUUCCUGACACUGAGGCACGAAGGCCAGGGGAGCAAACGGG
rnacentral:rRNA from 1 species